rnacentral:lncRNA from 1 species
UUAUACCACAGCCUGUUAGUCAACCACGCUGCUGUUAGUUACACCACAGCUGCUGUUAGUUACACCACAGCUGUUAGUUCACCACAGCUGUUAGUUACACCACAGCUGCUGUUAGUUAUACCACAGCUGCUGUUAGUUACACCACAGCUGCUGUUAGUUACACCACAGCUGCUGCUAGUUACACCACAGCUGUUGCUAGUUACACCACAGCUGCUGUUAGUUACACCACAGCUGUUAGUUACACCACAGCUACUGUUAGUUACACCACAGCUGCUGUUAGUUAUACCACAGCUGCUGUUAGUUAUACCACAGCUGCUGUUAG